AGCUCUCUCCAGUGGUAUCGGCAGUAUCUCAAAGCAAAACCUACAUUUUUACUACUUCUCACUGAAUAUUCAAACAAAUCUGAGCCUGAUCUUCGUCUGUAUUCAAAAGCUACAAAAGAAAUCAAACAUGUAGAUCUGAUCAUCUUCUCUGCAUCUAUAUCAGACUCUGCUCUGUACUAUGUGCUCUGCAGCCCUCAGUGACAGGAAACACAAUACAGUGCAGAAAACGGUAUUACAUCCACAUCACACAUAUCCAGCCCCCACACCAGCUAGUUAACACAAGGGUUAACACCCCUCUAUAAAAUUCAAUAUAUUAUUGCACACAUGGAUUGUUAAUUUUGAUACAUUUGCUUUUUCCCAGGUGGCGAGGAAGGAGGGGCUUAAAGUACUGUAUAUCUGACAGUAGUUUGUCAAAACUGACAUAAGAUCAUUUCAUCUGAGACUGUAAGAAAAAACACAAUGAUUCUCCAUUCAGUUAUUCUGCUCUCUGCUUUAGCAUGUGCCAGUAACGGAGAUACCAUUAAACCAGACAAAACAGAGGAGUUUGUUGCAGAGGGUUCAAGUGUUAACUUAUCCUGCAGUUAUUCAUCUGCAUGGUCUUUACUUUGGUACCGUCAGUAUCCCGGAUCAGCUCCUGAGUUCCUUGUGCUCAUCUCAGAUGGAGAAAAAGAAGCUCAGACGUCUAAAGUGGAUCAAAGAUUCAGUACUAAUAAUAGAAAAGAAGAACAAAAUCGUGUGGAUCUAAUCAUCUCCUCUGUUGCAGUAUCAGACUCUGCUCUGUACUACUGUGCUCUGAGGCCCACAGUGACAGGAAACACAAGAACACUGUACAAAAACCUGACUCUAAAAAGAAACAAUAGUCUUCUACAGACAGAGAGAAAUGUGACCCUUAAAUUGUGAAUUCCAGAUUCUAGACCCCUCUGGUAUCUAAGCAUUUUGCCAAUUCAGAAAAGACUAAAACAAUAUGGCAGAAAUCAACUUUUCACAUGCACAAAUGUGCUCAAUACAUUGUGUAAAGGCACACUUUCUUUAAAUCAUUUACUUUACUGCAAGGAAUAAAAAGGCACAUAAUGCCCAUUACUAAAGGCUUUACAAUUUAGAGAUCACGCAUUUGUUCAAAAACAUAUUCAGG
ensembl:lncRNA